rnacentral:lncRNA from 1 species
AACUCUGAAGACCCACCUCCGACGACCCAGAUCCGAGGAGGUGCCGACCACAUCCGACUACCAACCCAGCACUGAUCCGUCGCUCUUCUCCGAUCCGGCGGUGACUACUUUCAGCUCGGACUUGCAGCUCCUUGUCUGAGAAAGGUAAUUAGUUUUCAGAGAUUGAUCUUUUGGUCUACUUUGUUUAAAAUUCUGCCACAUGAGAUCCAAUUAUUCAACUUCCUGAUCUAAUUAUCUAUAAAAUUGCAGGCUUACAGAGUGACUACUGGAUUAGCAGCUCGGCCAUGGUGUUUAACUGAGGUUUGCUCGAAACAAGAUAUUAUAAACAUCGUUACUGAUCCUAGCGCAGAGUCCACCAAAGGAGGUUAGUUGCAG